rnacentral:rRNA from 1 species
UACAGAGGUCUCGAGCGUUAGGCGGAAUCACUGGGCUUAAAGCGUGUGUAGGCGGAUCGGUAAGUACCUUGUGAAAUCCCACAGCUUAACUGUGGAACUGCUUGGUAUACUGCCAGUCUUGAGCCACUUAGGGGCUACCGGAACAAAUGGUGGAGCGGUGAAAUGCGUAGAUAUCAUUUGGAACGCCAAUGGUGAAAACAGGUAGCUGGGAGUGUGCUGACGCUGAGACACGAAAGCCAGGGAGCAAACGGG